rnacentral:misc_RNA from 1 species
GAGAGAACUAGUGACCAGAGAUAUUCUACUCCUAGCCCGCGCAUGAGAGCAUUAAUCCCCGGGUACCGUACGCAUUACUUCUCUCUCGCUUCCUUUGCGAGCAUUAUAUAUCUUCGCUUCAACGCUUCUGGUCUUCCAAACGGUCAUAUUUCUCCGUAGGCGAACGCCAAAGUUACAAACAAAGUGAGUUUCUUUUAAGAUCCCAGAAGAAAGAGGAAAGUAGAUGAAGGGAGGGUUGGUUGUGGAUAGUGGGGUUGUAUACGAAGAGGAGAAGCAUCUCACAGUG